rnacentral:rRNA from 1 species
UACGUAGGGGGCAAGCGUUUGUCCGGAUUUAUUGGGCGUAAAGAGCGUGUAGGCGGUUUGGUAGGUCCGCUGGUGAAAAACUCGAGGCUCAACCUCGAGACGCCGGUGGAAACCAUCAGACUAGAGUCCGGAAGAGGAGAGUGGAAUUCCUGGUGUAGCGGUGAAAUGCGCAGAUAUCAGGAAGAACACCCGUGGCUAAGGCGGCUCUCUAGUACGGUACUGACGCUGAGACGCGAAAGCGUGGGGAG